AAAGCAAGAGAGCUUCUAAGUUCUACACACUAGAGCUGGUGUACACGCGUUCUCAGAGCUCAUGUCCAGGGCUUCAUCAGAGCUAUUUUCUAUGCUGGAAACCUAAAACAACAAAGAUUUUCAAUCCACCCAGACUAAUCAAAGUAUGCUACUAUUUGUCUAAAGUGGAACGGAUGGUCGUCACCUUUGACUAAGCUGCUGAGCCCAAGAAAUGUGGCAGACUGGUGGCCUAGCUGUUCAACUUCUCAACACGAAUGCUAUAUGUUACGGACUUAAUUUUUUGCGAUCUCUUGG